rnacentral:tRNA from 1 species
GCCUGACUGGCUCAGUCGGUAGAGCAUGCCACUCUUGAACUCAGGGUCAUGAGUUUGAGCCCCAUGUCAGGUG